rnacentral:rRNA from 1 species
CCUACGGGUGGCAGCAGUGAGGAAUAUUGGUCAAUGGGCGUAAGCCUGAACCAGCCAAGUCGCGUGAGGGAUGAAGGUUCUAUGGAUCGUAAACCUCGUUUAUAAGGAAAUAAAGUGCGGGGCGUGUCCCGUUUUGUAUGUACCUUAUGAACAAAGAUCGGGUAACUCCGUGCCAGCAGCCGCGGUGAUACGGAGGGUCCGAGCGUUGUCCGGAUUGAUUGGGUUUAAAGGGUGCGUAGGCGGCAUUUCAAGUCAGGGGUGAAAGCCUGUGGGUCAACCAUAGAAUUGCCGUUGAAACUGGGAGGCUUGAGUAUGUGUGAGGCAGGCGGAAUGCGUGGUGUAGGGGUGAAAUGCUGAGAUAUCACGCAGAACACCGAUGGCGAAGGCAGCCUGCCAAGCCAUGACUGACGCUGAUGCACGAAAGCGUGGGGAUCAAACAGGAUUAGAUACCCGGGUAGUC